UACGUAGGUGGCGAGCGUUGUCCGGAUUUAUUGGGCGUAAAGCGCGCGCAGGUGGUGCGGUAAGUCUGCCGUGAAAUCUCCCGGCUCAACUGGGAGGGGGCGGUGGAGACUGCCGGACUAGAGGGACUCAGAGGCCGGUGGAAUUCCCGGUGUAGUGGUGAAAUGCGUAGAGAUCGGGAGGAACACCAGUGGCGAAGGCGGCUCGCUGGGCUCUACCUGACGCUGAGGCGCGAAAGCGUGGGGAGCGAACCGG
rnacentral:rRNA from 1 species